CUUAUUUGUUAAAUCCACAGUGGCAAAUGCAAGAGUUUUUCCUUGCUUCAAAAUUUGAGCUGUAAUCAGUAUCUCUUCUCCAAUCUUAGCAGCAGAAGUGUAUCUUCAAGGAAGAAAAAAAGGAACAGCAGGGUGUGCUUUUAAAACAUGCUGUUUGGGGAAUAGGAAGAAAUUUCUGCACAAAGAAUUCCCCUGGAACGAAUUAGGAGGAACGUGAUCUAACCAUGAUCUGAGCCCACAGGUGGUAAAUCCAGAAUUACAGCUCACCUAUGAUACCAUGCUUCCCCCUGUAACCAACAAAAGAAGUAAUUUUGACACCAAGAAGUUACUGCAAUUCAGUAUUUGAAAAUCUCUGUUUAAAUUUCUUCAGUCGGUAGCACUAUAUUCCAAAUCUGAAAGCAGAUGCAAAACUGGGGUAAGUUCCACAUAUAUUUACAUGUAUAACUAAGACUUUGAAGUGCCUUUAGACUAUUAAAAGUGAAAUGUGGACAUAUUUAUUUCUUCCUACUAAUUUUCAGGUUUUUUACAAGGGCUUUUUCAAACCUGAAUGUUUCCAUUCUGUUACCAGCUAAGCUUAAAUAUUUUUUGAUCUUAAAAGGUAUAAGGUUGAUAUGUUUCCAGUUUCAUAAUUCCUUAUUUAUAAUGCAAUUUAAGAGCUGAGUUUCACCCUUUCUGAUAAACCAGAGUUUAUCCAAGUUUUGCAGACAAAGCAAGAUCAAUGAUGAUGUAAGUGCAGUCUUCUAAUGGAAAAAAAAAUGGUAUUACACAGAGAGGAAAUUACUGAGGCAACAUCCUAAUGUAGAAAUAGCACUUGUAUCAAUGAAAACCCCAAGCCCUAAAUCAGGCAUGCUGCACUGCACUGGAGGCCUGAGCUUCUGACAGAAUUUCUAAGGAGGGCUUUACUGAUGCCCAGCACUGGGAGCAGACGGCUUCCUCUCCUGUCAGGGACUGGUGCUCCACCCCACCAGCGAGGUGAGCAAAGCAUCUGCUCCCAUUUGUCAUUGCUCUGAUCUGGCACUACAUGCCUGCUCUCCUUGACAAAAAUAGUUCAGUACUUGAACGCUUCCAGGACCUACUCAGCUAGAGCUGCUGCUCUGUGCUUCUCCCAGCCCUGCUGUGCUUGUCCUCCCACGCGUCUGCCUCAGGGAACAGCACAUUGCUUCAGCUUCCAGGCUUUAAACACACAGUCAUUAAACCCUGGGUAGAUACCACAUUGGAGUUACACCAGAAACUAAGUCUGAGGAUUGAGGUGAAAGGUUUCAGACUAAAUGUGUCUUCUCCAGGAUAAGAAAAAGCUUGAGUCAUUUACUUAUGGUAAGAGAGAUUUCAGGUAUCUCCCAGAAAAGCAGCAGUUACUUUUAAUUCAAACUAUACUUUUUUUAUUAUUAUUAUAAUCAGAUUCCUAGCACCCUAAUUCCAGAAGGUUGCAGGAAACAUCUGAAAGUAUUCCAGACUGGAAGCCUGUCUCCCAAGGUUCACUUCCAGGCAGUUACCUUUACAAACUGAAAUGCUAAUAUUUGCUCACCACUUACCAGGAUUUAAAAGGAGCGUAAAGCUAUCAGUGAAUCAGCUAUAAAGUGAAGUGGUGACUAAGAAUUAAAUGGACUCUAUAAAUAUAUAAAUUAUCUUCUUAAAGCUUUAUACAUUUUUUAAAAACUUUAUACUCACUAACAUGUCUUGGAAAAACGUGACUGCAAGAAUUAUUUUACAAACAGUUGAUUUUUAUUAAGUGUACCAGAUCAUGGAGCUGUCAACAAAAGCACUGCUUCCAUUAUAACAUUUGCUGCUCUACAAUGCAAAGCAUAUUGAUUUUUACAUGGCUGAUUUUCUUAGAUAUAUUUACUCCAUCACUCCAUGUCACAGUUACACAACCAAAUAAAAACUAAAGGGAAAAUUUAAUGAGAACACUGAAACUGCUUCUAGAACAAGAACUUUCCUACACAGCAGCUAUGCUACUGCAUUCUACACAAGUUGUAGUGUAAAUUAACAGUAGCUUCAACUUUUUUUUAGCAUAACGUAACAUGACACUGCAGCACUACCAGUGCAGUGUCAAUUACAUUUCCUUACACCAGAAUGUGCAGUGAAGUUAUAGUGUACAGCCUUGUGUAGAAGAAAUGCAGAGAGCACUGGGGGGUGUGCGUUGUGCUUUCAGCCUGACUUCAGGCUCAGGAGAUGUCAUAACGAGGCAUCUUUCUAAUUUUAAACAGGGAAGAGUUAACUUUACAAUUUCCUGGUCCUGGAAGUUAGUGGCUUCGCACGUACGUAGGAAGGAAAGAAUGCCACCUGCUGAAUGACUCCUGAAGGUUAUUCAGUACAACCACCUUCAGGAGCUGCUGGAAGGCAGCUGGAGUGUUUAACGAGAGUUACUGAACAACAAUUGGGUAAUUAUUAUAACAAUUGUUUUCUACCCCAUGUUAGCAGCACGGCCACACGCCAGGGUGCGCGGCCUGGAAUGCGGGGAAACACCGGCGAGCCUGCACCACCGGGCUCCUGCCGUGCCCGCAGCAUGACGCCCUGAUCCCGGUUCAGCCGGUUAUUCCGGGAGGGGACAGGAGGCCGGAGAAACGAGCUGUCCCGGCGGGGCCGCGCUCCCGGAGCCCUGCCCUCCAAGCG